UUUUCAGAAGAAGUGCUCUCAUGGAAAACAAGAAGGCUAUGCAGCAUACACAAGGUAGGAACGGCACCCAGCGAGUGGGUUUCUCCUUUCUAAUGACCCCCAGCUACAGGAUGUGUGUUACUUCAUGACCCUGUUGGAAGACUUCUAUUAGUCAGCCCCAGGUCAACCAGUUCUUGCCACCAGAGGAGUGGGAGAAAAGAUGGAGGAGGGGCAGCGGAGACUUGACUCCUACCGGAAAUGAUGAAGCCUCCCUGCAAAGGGAACUUCAUCUGCAUACCACCCUGGCAUGAGUUAUGUGUUCUUUGGUUGACCUCUGGU